rnacentral:rRNA from 1 species
GGCGUAAAGCGUGCGCAGGCGGUUAUAUAAGUCAGAUGUGAAAUCCCCGGGCUCAACCUGGGAACUGCAUUUGAGACUGUAUAGCUAGAGUACGGUAGAGGGGGAUGGAAUUCCGCGUGUAGCAGUGAAAUGCGUAGAUAUGCGGAGGAACACCGAUGGCGAAGGCAAUCCCCUGGACCUGUACUGACGUUCAUGCACGAAAGCGUGGGGAGCAAACAGGAUUAGAUGCCCUGGUAGUCCAGACCGUAAACGGUGGGCACUAGUUGUGGGAACCUUCCACGGUUUCUGCGACGCAGCUAACGCAUUAAGUGCCCCGCCUGGGGAGUACGAUCGCAAGAUUAAAACUCAAAGGAAUUGACGGGGCCCCGCACAAGCAGCGGAGCAUGCGGCUUAAUUCGACGCAACGCGAAGAACCUUACCAAGGCUUGACAUAUAGGGAAAAGUGGCAGAGAUGUCAUGUCCGCAAGGGCUCUAUACAGGUGGUGCAUGGUUGUCGUCAGCUCGUGUCGUGAGAUGUUGGGUUAAGUCCCGCAACGAGCGCAACCCUCGUUCUGUGUUGCCAGCAUUUAGUUGGGGACUCACAGGAGACUGCCGGGGUUAACUCGGAGGAAGGUGGGGAUGACGUCAAGUCCUCAUGGCCCUUAUGGGUAGGGCUUCACACGUCAUACAAUGGUGCAUACAGAGGGUUGCCAACCCGCGAGGGGGAGCUAAUCUCAGAAAAUGCAUCGUAGUCCGGAUCGUAGUCUGCAACUCGACUACGUGAA